UGAGCAGCCUAGAUAAUACUAAGCUGAAAAUGCUGCCUAAGAAGAAAAAGAACCAAAAAGUCGGAAGAGACCUUUACAAGAGGAACUAUUUUCAUGCAUGUGAAAGCCUUCUUUCUGUUAUUCUAGACAAGGGAAGCAGCAAAUCCGUCCUCUCUCUAAAAAAAUCAGCCUCUGCCAUUAGCCACCUACUUACACAAAUCUCUGCAGGAAUUGCUGCAGAAACUCAAUCAGGCUGAAUCUUGAGGAGGAAGAGACAACAAGCAUGGUGAAGAGAAGCAUGAAUAAGAUUCUCUUUAGAGCUGCAAUUUUGGUAGCUGUGGCAUUGUUUAGAUUCGCGUAAAGAUUCUUGACAUGUCCUUAUUGCGUAAAGAAUCUAAAUUUUGCAGUUAUUAGGAAUAUUAUCGUGUUAGGUUGUGUCAAACAAAAAGUAAUUAGUGGUCUAAAACCAUGUAAAAAAUAUUGAGUUUCUUACAUGUAUCGAGCGACUUGUGUUUGUA